UACGGGGGAGCAAGCGUUGGUCGGAUUUACUGGGCGUAAAGGGCGCGUAGGCGGUCGUGACAAGUCACUUGUGAAAUCUCCGGGCUUAACUCGGAACGGUCAAGUGAUACUGUCGGACUAGAGUACAGAAGGGGCAACUGGAAUUCUCGGUGUAGCGGUGAAAUGCGUAGAUAUCGAGAGGAACACCUGCGGCGAAGGCGGGUUGCUGGGCUGAUACUGACGCUGAGGCGCGAAAGCCAGGGGAGCGAACGGG
rnacentral:rRNA from 1 species